rnacentral:rRNA from 1 species
CGUACCCCAAACCGACACAGGUGGUCAGGUAGAGAAUACCAAGGCGCUUGAGAGAACUCGGGUGAAGGAACUAGGCAAAAUGGUGCCGUAACUUCGGGAGAAGGCACGCUGAUAUGUAUGUGAAGUCCCUCGCGGAUGGAUCUGAAAUCAGUCGAAGAUACCAGCUGGCUGCAACUGUUUAUUAAAAACACAGCACUGUGCAAACACGAAAGUGGACGUAUACGGUGUGACGCCUGCCCGGUGCCGGAAGGUUAAUUGAUGGGGUCAGCGCAAGCGAAGCUCUUGAUCGAAGCCCCGGUAAACGGCGGCCGUAACUAUAACGGUCCUAAGGUAGCGAAAUUCCUUGUCGGGUAAGUUCCGACCUGCACGAAUGGCGUAAUGAUGGCCAGGCUGUCUCCACCCGAGACUCAGUGAAAUUGAACUCGCUGUGAAGAUGCAGUGUACCCGCGGCAAGACGGAAAGACCCCGUGAACCUUUACUAUAGCUUGACACUGAACAUUGAGCCUUGAUGUGUAGGAUAGGUGGGAGGCUUGGAAGUGUGGACGCCAGUCUGCAUGGAGCCGACCUUGAAAUACCACCCUUUAAUGUUUGAUGUUCUAACGUUGACCCGUAAUCCGGGUUGCGGACAGUGUCUGGUGGGUAGUUUGACUGGGGCGGUCUCCUCCUAAAGAGUAACGGAGGAGCACGAAGGUUGGCUAAUCCUGGUCGGACAUCAGGAGGUUAGUGCAAUGGCAUAAGCCAGCUUGACUGCGAGCGUGACGGCGCGAGCAGGUGCGAAAGCAGGUCAUAGUGAUCCGGUGGUUCUGAAUGGAAGGGCCAUCGCUCAACGGAUAAAAGGUACUCCGGGGAUAACAGGCUGAUACCGCCCAAGAGUUCAUAUCGACGGCGGUGUUUGGCACCUCGAUGUCGGCUCAUCACAUCCUGGGGCUGAAGUAGGUCCCAAGGGUAUGGCUGUUCGCCAUUUAAAGUGGUACGCGAGCUGGGUUUAGAACGUCGUGAGACAGUUCGGUCCCUAUCUGCCGUGGGCGCUGGAGAACUGAGGGGGGCUGCUCCUAGUACGAGAGGACCGGAGUGGACGCAUCACUGGUGUUCGGGUUGUCAUGCCAAUGGCACUGCCCGGUAGCUAAAUGCGGAAGAGAUAAGUGCUGAAAGCAUCUAAGCACGAAACUUGCCCCGAGAUGAGUUCUCCCUGACUCCUUGAGAGUCCUGAAGGAACGUUGAAGACGACGACGUUGAUAGGCCGGGUGUGUAAGCGCAGCGAUGCGUUGAGCUAACCGGUACUAAUGAACCGUGAGGCUUAACCUUACAACGCCGAAGGUGUUU